rnacentral:ncRNA from 1 species
GGUCACGAGCCCCGGCGCGAAGUCUCGGCUGGCCGGGCGGCAACCCCCAUGCGAACGCACACGCGCGCCGGGGUGCCCCGAGUAACGACCCGGCCGCCCGUCGACCGACGCGGCGGCAAGCGCAACGA